CCUACGGGAGGCAGCAGUGAGGAAUAUUGGUCAAUGGCCGGAAGGCUGAACCAGCCAUGCCGCGUGAAGGUCAGUGCCCUAUGGGCGUUAAACUUCUUUUGUGCGGGAGCAAUAAUGGUCACGUGUGGCCAGACGAGAGUACCGUACGAAUAAGCAUAGGCUAACUCCGUGCCAGCAGCCGCGGUAAUACGGGGGAUGCAAGCGUUAUCCGGAUUUAUUGGGUUUAAAGGGUGCGUAGGCUGUGAGGUAAGUCAGCGGUGAAAUGCCCCCGCUCAACGGGGUGAAGUGCCAUUGAUACUGCCUGGCUGGAAUGCGGAUGCCGUGGGAGGAAUGUGUGGUGUAGCGGUGAAAUGCAUAGAGAUCACACAGAACACCGAUUGCGAAGGCAUCUCACGAAUCCGCGAUUGACGCUGAUGCACGAAAGCGUGGGUAUCAAACAGGAUUAGAUAUCCGGGUAGUC
rnacentral:rRNA from 1 species